rnacentral:rRNA from 1 species
GAUGGCGAAGGCAGGUCUCUGGGCAUUUACUGACGCUGAGGAGCGAAAGCAUGGGGAGCGAACAGGAUUAGAUACCCUGGUAGUCCCAUGCCGUAAACGUUGGGCACUAGGUGUGGGGGACAUUCCACGUUUUCCGCGCCGUAGCUAACGCAUUAAGUGCCCCGCCUGGGGAGUACGGCCGCAAGGCUAAAACUCAAAGGAAUUGACGGGGGCCCGCACAAGCGGCGGAGCAUGCGGAUUAAUUCGAUGCAACGCGAAGAACCUUACCAAGGCUUGACAUGUGCCAGACCGCCUCAGAGAUGGGGUUUCCCUUCGGGGCUGGUUCACAGGUGGUGCAUGGUUGUCGUCAGCUCGUGUCGUGAGAUGUUGGGUUAAGUCCCGCAACGAGCGCAACCCUCGUUCCAUGUUGCCAGCACGUAAAGGUGGGGACUCAUGGGAGACUGCCGGGGUCAACUCGGAGGAAGGUGGGGAUGACGUCAAAUCAUCAUGCCCCUUAUGUCUUGGGCUUCACGCAUGCUACAAUGGCCGGUACAAUGGGUUGCGAUACUGUGAGGUGGAGCUAAUCCCUAAAAGCCGGUCUCAGUUCGGAUUGGGGUCUGCAACUCGACCCCAUGAAGUCGGAGUCGCUAGUAAUCGCAGAUCAGCAACGCUGCGGUGAAUACGUUCCCGGGCCUUGUACACACCGCCCGUCAAGUCACGAAAGUUGGUAACACCCGAAGCCGAUGGCCUAACCACCUUGUGUGGGGGGAGUCGUCGAA